CAGUAGCCACGGUAAUACGUAGGGUGCAAGCGUUAAUCGGAAUUACUGGGCGUAAAGCGUGCGCAGGCGGUUUUGUAAGACAGAGGUGAAAUCCCCGGGCUCAACCUGGGAACUGCCUUUGUGACUGCAAGGCUAGAGUACGGCAGAGGGGGAUGGAAUUCCGCGUGUAGCAGUGAAAUGCGUAGAUAUGCGGAGGAACACCGAUGGCGAAGGCAAUCCCCUGGGCCUGUACUGACGCUCAUGCACGAAAGCGUGGGGAGCAAACAGGAUUAGAUACCCCUGUAGUCCCUGUCUCUUAUAC
rnacentral:rRNA from 1 species